rnacentral:misc_RNA from 1 species
UAAAAAAAUGUCAUAUAUCUAUUCUUUCAUGUCUAUAUGCCUUUAGAUAGUCUCAUAUAUUCGUAACAUUCAUGUUCAUGCGAUAAAUUUGAAGUAAAUUUACAACUCUGCACAUGUUGAUUUUCUAUCUUUAUGUUGUUUAUUAUUUUUUCGUGUUUCUAUUUCUUUAAAAAUUUUAUAAAAAUUAAUUUGUAUUCUUCAUGAAAUUUUAAUGAUUUUGGGCUUAAGAAUUGUGCAAAAAGCUUUUAAAUUGAGA